rnacentral:rRNA from 1 species
AAUGAACGCUGGCGGCAGGCUUAACACAUGCAAGUCGAACGAGUGGCGGACGGGUGAGUAAUGCUUGGGAAUCUAGUUUAUGGAGGGGGAUAACUACGGGAAACUGUAGCUAAUACCGCGUACCAUAGGCUGAGCCCAAGUGGGAUUCGGUAGUUGGUGAGGUAAAGGAUCACCAAGUCGACGAUCUCUAGCUGGUCUUAGAGGAUGACCGGCCACACGGGGACUGAGAAACGGCCCAGACUCCUACGGGAGGCAGCAGUAGGGAAUAUUGCGCAAUGGGAGAAACCUGACGCAGCCAUGCCGCGUGAUUGAAGAAGGCCUUAGGGUUGUAAAGUUCUUUCAGUCGGGAAGCGUUACCGACAGAAAAAGCACCGGCUAACUCCGUGCCAGCAGCCGCGGUAAUUC